rnacentral:lncRNA from 1 species
GUAGGAGAGGUGGGCAGCCCCCAGACCCUGCAGGCUCCAUUUUAUUCUGAGUGCUGAAUUUAAGCAGAGGAGAGACCUGCAGGGCUUUCUGGAUGUCGUGUGAGGAACGGAUUAGAGCAGAAGAUCAACAAUGUGGUCUGGAAGGCUGAUGGCUAAGAAUGGCUUUUACAUUUUUAAAUGGUUGACAAAAAAGCAAAAGAAGAAGAUAUUUUGAGAUACGUGAAAGUUACAGGAAAUUCACAUUUCAAUGUCUAUAAAUAAAGUUUUAUGGGAACACAGCCAUGCUCAUUUGUUUACAAAUUGUCUGUGGCUGCUUUCCCACAGCGACGGCAGGGUUGAUUAGUUGCAAUGGAGACUGUAUGGCCCGCAAAGCUUAAAAUAUUUACUCUCAGGCCCUUUACUCAAAAUGUGACAUUUGGGGAGUUAGGGAAGAGCAUAUUGAAAUUCUUUGUAAUCUGCUUGCAACUCUUGCUCUCACAGGCUCUCCGCUCUGCACCUUGUCACCUGAGCCUUGAAACAACCCUCUCCAGUAGGACAUUCUUCCCAGUUUACAAAGGAGGAGACAGACUUAGAGAGGCACUAAGAUUUACUCAAGGACACAGCCAGGAAGUGGGAAUGUGAGGGCUCCCUGCCCCCAGCCCCCAGCCCCCAUGAGUGAUGUUCCUGCCUGGUAAUGCUGGGCCCGCAUGGCAGAGACUGGGUGCGUUACCACAGACUGGGAGUUAAAACAACAGAAAUUUCUUCUCUUCCACUUCCAGAGGCCAAAAAUCCAAAAUCAAAGUGUUGGCAAGGCCACACUCCCUCCCCAGGCUGUGGGGGAGAAUCUUUUCAGCCCUUCUCCUACCUUCUGGUGGCUCCUGGCAAUCUGGGAAUCUUUGGCAUCCCUUGGCUUCUAGCAGUAAUGCUCCAGUCUCUGCCUCUGUCUUCACAUCAUCUUCUCUAUGUGUCUGUCUCUCUGUAUCUAUGUCUUAUCUCCUUCUGCUUUUUUUUUUUUUUUUUUUUUGCUGAGGAAGAUUCACCCUGAGCUAACAUCUGUUGCCAAUCUUCUUCUUUUUGUAUCUGUGCCACCACAACAGCGUGGCCACUCACAGACAAGUGGUAUAGGUUCGUGCCCGGCAACUGAACCCAGGCCACCAAAACAGAAUGUGCUUAACCACUAGGAACUUAACCACUAGGCCACUGGGGCUGGCCCUGCCUCACUCUUAUAAGGACACUUGCCACUGGAUUUAGGACCUACUUGGAUAAUCCAGGAUGAUCUCAUCUUAAAAUCCUUAACUAGGGGCUGGCCCUGUGGCCCAGUGGUUAAGUUCAUAUGCUCCACUUUGGUGGCCCAGGGUUUCCCUGGUUCGGAUCUUGGGUGCAGACAUGGCACUGCUCAUCAAGCCAUGCUGAGACAGCAUCCCACAUAGCACAACCAGAAGGACUUACAGC